rnacentral:tRNA from 3 species
GGAGAGUUGCCUGAGAGGCCGAAAGGACUUGUUUGCUAAACAAGCGAACUGGAAACGGUUCCAAGGGUUCGAAUCCCUUACUCUCCGCAA